AGUGUGCGUAGGACCGGAAAAACCAACACGCGUAAUGAAAGUAACAGGUGCCAAGCGCAAGCAGCAGCAUCGGCCGACCAUGAUCAUUAGAGAAAGGUUUGAGUAUGAGCAUAUUUGUUAGGACCCGAAAGAUGGUGAACUAUGCUUGAGUAGGGUGAAGUCAGGGGAAACUCUGAUGGAGGCUCGUAGCGAUACUGACGUGCAAAUCGUUCGUCAAACUUGAGUAUAGGGGCGAAAGACUAAUCGAACCAUCUAGUAGCUGGUUCCUCCCGAAGUUUCUCUCAGGAUAGCAAGAUCAAUAUUGCAGUUUUAUCAGGUAAAGCGAAUGAUUAGAGGAUUCUGGGGAGUAAUUCCCUAGACCUAUUCUCAAACUUUAAAUUGGUAAGAACUCGUUAUUUCUUAAUUGAAUAGCGGGGAUGAAUGCAUGAUCUUAGUGGGCCAUUUUUGGUAAGCAGGAC
rnacentral:rRNA from 1 species